rnacentral:lncRNA from 1 species
AUAUAUAUACAUCAUUUUAAACAUUACAUUAUAUUCAUAUUAGUAUAAUCAUUUUUUUUAUAUAUAUACAUGAAUGGAGCAUCUUAAGCUCUAAGAGCUUGAAAAUGAUGUUCCAUGAGAAAAAAGAAUACAAAGAUACAUAAUUAUACAUUGGCUAAAAUAAUAUAUUCAAUGAUGCGAACAUCAACAAAGAGUAAAAAGAAGAGCAAGAGAGAUAGAGUGAGGGGUGAAAAGAACAGAGUGGGAAGGAAAGAACUGAAUAGAAAGAGAGAAAUAUGAGAAUUUUUAACAAUAUAUAACAAGCCAUGUUUGAUAACGAAGACUCGUUCGUGAGGUAUUUUGUUUGCAUAAUAAAUAUAAACAAUAGUAAAACAAAAAUGAAUUUCAUAUGUGUGGUGGUACAUUAUGUAACCAUGCAGUGGUAAUAAACAUACAUGACAUUAUUAUCAGCCUUGCGUUUCAUAUUUUGAAAUAAGGAAAUUUUGAACUUGCCUCUUGAAGGAAUUUUUUGUUGGGCAUGAACGAAUAUAAUAGAAAGGGAAUUCCAAAUGUCGGGGCCAGUAUGUCGAAUAGAUCUAUGGGCAAGAGCUGUUCUUGGGUUGAGGUUCGGGUUUGGGGAACAAUGGGUUUGAAUGAGCUCGACAGUCUGAGUUUGUACAAAUACGAACAGCUUUUUUCUGAAGAAAUAAAGAGUUGAUUUUUUUUUUGACAAGCCCAUACAACAUUACGAUAUGAAAUAUAAGGCAGUAUGAUACAAUUAUAUAUAGUAAAUAAUGUUUGGCGAGGAAUAAACCAUCUGACCUUAUAUAAUACACAGACUCCACGUGAAACCGAAGUAACAAUAUUAGCUAUAUGUGUAUUCCAGUUUAAUUUACCAUCGACAGUUACACCUAGAAACUUUGUUUCUUUCUGAUCGAUCUUCAUAUUAUCAAUGAAAAUAUCAUAGGACCGAAUAUUAAUAUUGGAAUAUAUAUAUUAUAUUUAUAUAAAUAUAAAUACUUGACACAAGACCACAUAUAAUAUUUCCAUCAUAUAGACUGGUAGAUAGAAAUAUUAGGACACUAUACCAAGCAUUUCCCAACUGGGUUUCAACUAGGACCAACAAACCACUUUUGUCCAUGAAUUUAGAAUAUAUAUCUACAUAAACAAAAUUGUUACUUCCCAAAGUUUAGUUUAAUUCCUCAACUUGAUAACAUUACAUGAUAUUUAGUCAGAAUCCUUUUUAAAAAAAAUCAAACUCUGCAGGUCCAAAAAUUCUCAACAUUAAUAAUUAUUAUUCGUUACAAUUUUGUGGCAUCCAUGGUCCACCCAUAAAUAUUUGUGAACAAGUGUGACAUGUGAAAAUGCUAAAAGAUAAAAUAAUUCGAGAAAAAAUCAUAAGUAUUCAAAGAGGAUUUCAGUAGUGGGAUAGAGGGUGCUUAAAAUCUUAACUGCUGGUUUGAGAAAUGUAUGUUUAUAAUCAGCUAAACAUCAAGACAAAAUUUGGAGUGUCCUUGAAUUUUAAUCGAAUUCAAAAUUGACCAUUAUGUGCGAUGCUGUUCACUGAUUGGGCUAUUCUUGGGUAAUGAUAUAUCUAGUCACUUAUGUCACCAUUCAUUGCCUGCCAUAUACUAACAUGUUUAAAUGAACCUUUUUCCACAUUUGGGGGAUAUAAAAAAUGAAUAAAUCUAUUUAAAAAUUUCAUUAUUAUUUCAACAAAUUUUAAUACUAAUUUUUGUGGGCAAAAGCAGUCUAUAGUUUUUUUUAAAUAUUUUCCUAAACUGCUGAUAUAAGAGCUUGUAACAUUGAAUUUUAAAUUUUGAGUUUUAAAAUUAAAGUAUGUGCAUUAGUAAAUUUUACAAGUGUCCCUAAAUCCGCUUACCAUUUAUUCAGGGAUCAUACUUUAGUAAUAAUGAGAUUUAUGUGAAGGGAGAAUAAAAAGAUAAAAAUGAGCAUGAAAGUUUGAAGGAAAUUUCGACAAGGAAUGAGAAGUACAUGUAUUAAAGGGCACUUUGAAAAAUAAGAACACGACAUGUAUACAAAUCUCAAAUUGGCAACUUGGUUUCUCAAUGUUAAAAAUUUACCGCUACCUGGACAAUACAACAUGCAUGCUGUGUUCCAAAAUUACUUUAAUUUCUCUGAAUCACCUUACUGAAAUAAACUUCUAAAAAAAGUUUUGAAAUCUCAUUUUGUUCAACUAUAUUGAUCUGGCUCUAAAGGCCUGAUCACAAGUCAAAAGCUGAAAAACCUGCAAUAUGUCUGAAGUUUCAUAAAUCAUCUACGGUUUGGAUUAAAAUCUGAGUUUGAUUAUUGCUCUCUUAUCCCAGCAAUAAUCCAUGCAUGUUUGAUUUUAAUUAAGAUUGUGAACAUUUUUUAUAACUUUUUUCUAUGAUUAUAUCUUAUACAAGUGCAGUGCUUUGAAACAUGGGAAAUAUUGAAUAGAUGCAAAAUGACUUACAUUUCAGCCAUGCAGCUGAGAGACAAAAUGACAUUACGCCAAACAAAAGAACCUGUUCUUAAUCUCUUCUCCAUGACUACCAGAUUUCAUGCCACACUUUGAAAUAUUGCUCUUUGGCAUACUCAUAAAAAAGUAGG